GAUGAACGCUGGCGGCGUGCCUAAUACAUGCAAGUCGAGCGAACAGACGAGGAGCUUGCUCCUCUGACGUUAGCGGCGGACGGGUGAGUAACACGUGGAUAACCUACCUAUAAGACUGGGAUAACUUCGGGAAACCGGAGCUAAUACCGGAUAAUAUAUUGAACCGCAUGGUUCAAUAGUGAAAGACGGUUUUGCUGUCACUUAUAGAUGGAUCCGCGCCGCAUUAGCUAGUUGGUAAGGUAACGGCUUACCAAGGCAACGAUGCGUAGCCGACCUGAGAGAGUGAUAGGCCGCACUGGAACUGGAACACGGUCAAGACUCCUACGGGAGGCAGCAGUAGGGAAUCUUCCGCAAUGGGCGAAAGCUUGACGGAGCAACGCCGCGUGAGUGAUGAAGGUCUUCGGAUCGUAAAACUCUGUUAUUAGGGAAGAACAAAUGUGUAAGUAACUAUGCACGUAUUGACGGUACCUAAUCAGAAAGCCACGGCUAACUACGUG
rnacentral:rRNA from 1 species